rnacentral:lncRNA from 1 species
UUUUUCGGUGUAUUUUGAAAAUAACUUUUAUAAUAAUAAUAAUUUUAUUUCUGCGAUAUCUGUUUCUGCAUGGAACCACGUUUCUUCUUUUAGCCGUUUUGUACUUUUUUCUUGAUUGUUAAACCAAGUUAACCAAUUUUAUUAGCAUAUUAAUAAAUAUUUCUUUUCUUGGACAAUAUUCCCGAAUUCUAGCUUACAUUUACUACUCUCAAUUAAAAUUAUAAAAUUACAGCGAUAAAAUUAAUUUUAAUAGUCCUGGUUAUUACUUCAUUCACAGAAUACAUUACAAAUGAUUUUGUAUUUAAAUGGACAUAAUACUGAAAAAAAUGCCUGAAAAAUAGAAGCACUACUUAAAUGAAUUUUUACAUUAUCAUUUCUCGCUUUUUGUUAACACCUUUAACUCUAACUAAAUUUCCUUUAUUGUUCCUGUUAGCUCUGAAAGAAAGGCACCAGUUUCACUAGCAGGCAGGUAACCCCUACAUCCUACAUAUCAUCAGUCUACAACACCCAAAAUUUGCCUGGUAUGUUUCACCACUUUGUUUAUCCAUAUUGAGUUUGUAGCGUGCAAACCCGCUACUUUGUAGAAUUUAUUUUAAUAAGACCCACUCUACAUUUAGAGGUCCUCUCAGGUAGCUGUUGAUUUUCAUUUGUAGCAAAUAUUUAUUAGUCGGUCCAUUUAUAUUCUUUUCGUGCACCCUGUAUAUCCAUUUUCAAUUCUGUAAUGAAAUUAGUGAUGCCUGAUUUAAAUUAGAAAAGUUAUUUCCAUCAUCUCGAAUAAUAUUUAUUGAGAAAAUAUUAUUGCCAUUUUCAUUUUAAACAGUUUAAUUAUUUCCAGUUUUCGUUCUUUCUAAAUAUUUUAUUUCGAAGCAAAAUUAUUUAUCAAGCCAUUAAUUUUUUGUAAUUUUAAAACAUUCAACUAUGUCAAUUUCAAUGAGAGUGUCUCUUUCGGUAUCAGCUAAUACUGACCUUCAAUUAAUUUCUUUUACCUUUAUAAAUACCAUGCUGGUGCCUUUCUGGCUCAUUUUUAUAUUCUUCGCCAAGUAGGUAGCAGCGAGCGCUACAGACCUAAUUGGUAAGUUGUUUUUGGGUUUUAUCAUUUACUUUUCCGAUAAUAUUUUUUGUUAAUUGACUAACUCGAA